GGCCCGGUGGCGGAAGAGAAUACGUGGGAGCAGUGCAUUGCUCUUUAUCCUGGUUCAAGUCCAGGCUGGGCCUCCA
rnacentral:tRNA from 1 species